ACACACACAGAGGGAGAGACACACACAGAGGGAGACACAGACACAGAGGGACACACACACACAGGGAUAGAGACACUCAGACAGGGAAAGGGAGAGAAAGAGGGAUAGAGAGGAACAGACCCACACGGAAGCAGGUUGGACACACACACACAGGCAGACAGGGUCAACACGAACAGAGACAGAGCUAGACACACGAGUUCACCCACAGACACAGAGUUAUCUGUCACGGGCUGCCGGAGGAGUGUGUGCAGCAGCGGGCGAGUUGUCUACCUGUGUCCCGGAGCGGCAGUGGAGGGCGUGGAGCGGAGAGGAGAGGAGGGAGAGAGGGAGCCGGGCAGCCCGGGGCGAUGAGCCGGUGUGGCGCUGCGCUGUGAGCCGGGACCGACCAUGAAUCUGGGCGUCACGUUAUUCGCCCUGUGGCACCUGUGGCCGGAGACUGAGGGCGACUGGAUGCCCCGUGAACACAACCAGCGGAGCUUCCCCCUGCCCUGGACACUGGACAGGAAUGGCACAGAUCCCAAUGAGCUUGGCUUGUUCUCUACGAACGAGGGGGCCCAAGGACACGCCCCACGUGUGACUCGCAGUACAGUGGUGGAGAUUGCAAAGCCUGCCCAGUGCAAGGUGCGUCCGGAGGUGAUGGAGAUCACACGAAGCAUGGUGGAUCCCACAAAGGCUAACUUCUACCUGUGGCCGAGCUGCGUGGAGGUCCAGCGCUGCUCGGGAUGCUGCACCAUCAAGAACUACAAGUGCCAACCGACCAAGGUUCAGGAGCGACGUGUGCGGUUUGUGAAGAAGGUGUUUAAGCGGAGGGGCAUCGUGUCCAAGACGGCAGUGAUAGUCCUUCACGAUCACGUCGAGUGCAAGUGCAUGACUGCAGCUCAGUUAGCAGACUCCCAGGACAGAGAAGGUGACGUUCCUGGCCUCUCCCGCCCCCACCAUCGCCCUGGCCCGCAAAUACAGCAGCAGCAAACGGAAACAUCGGAAGUUCAAACUCUUUGAUGGGAAGAAGGGAAUUCACCAAACAUAGAGGAGCCCAGCCACCGGAUUCAGGUAUCUUUUGUCCGAGCAGCCCCGGAACGGUGUGACGUGAUGCUGUAGUCUGUGAUGGACCUCCCAUUCACAGCCAACAGGGAAAUUAUUGACGACCUCUGGCGACCCCCGUGGAAGCGAUGGAAAGGUUAAAUCCCGGAGCACUGUGCACUAAAGACCAAACGAUGACUUUUACCAAAUAUCUCACGAGUAAUGACCACUGGAUUUGUUGAGCGGAGACUGUAGCCGUCCAGCUUUGUGCCUGUGAGGUCCCUUGACGAGGAGGGGUCUGUUGAGACCUGCGUUGGGACACUGCUCUUUGCACUGUAUAUUUUGCUAUUUUAUUUUCGUUGAUGUUUUAUGAUGUCUCAUGUUUGUUACUGUCCGUGGAGUGAAGAGGACAUCUGGAGUCUAGGCCUACUGCUGGGGUCUGACUUGGCCAGUCUGUGUAGCAUUUGAAUGGGGAGGUUGGGGGGGGGCAGCUCCGUCCUAUGCAUCAGCACGGCAGGCUUCAUCCCCAGCUCAGGGCCCUUCACCACAGCCAUCGACGCGGGCACGGGUCAGGUCGCCCCUCAGGCUCCCCCGAGUCAGAGAUGGACCCACAGCCCCCCUGCCUCUGACAUCGAAUGGCUCCAGAAAUAUUAUAAACCCACCCUCAUUGCCCCAGACCCGAAACAACCACUAUCCAUGUCCUCCAGAGAUGCUGCCUGACCCGCUGAGUUACUCCAGCACUUGGUGUCUUUUUUUAAAAACCCUGCAUCUGCAGUUUUCCCUGUGUCUACAUCUUGCUUCCCCAGGGCUGGGUUCCUGGAGUCUGGAGUUUAACGGGUGGAGCCUGAGAGACGGGCUGGGGGCAGGCCAGGCGGGGGGUGGUUUGGUGAUGAAGUGAAGCCACCCUGAGGCGAGGGUGUGUGGGGGCCCAACAAUCCCACUCCCUGGAACCCUGCCACUUCCUCCUCCAUCUGACAGCAGGCUGCUCCUGCUUGUCUACACAGCCACAGCUCAGGGCCUGGAGUCUGUGCUGGUGAUCAACUGGUGCAACAGAAAAAGGGUCUCGACCCGAAACGUCCCAAGUCUGAGGAAGGGUCUCGACCCCGAAACGUCACCUAUUCCUUUUCUCCAGAGAUGCUGCCUUG